GAUGAACGCUAGCGGCAGGCUUAACACAUGCAAGUCGAGGGGUAGAUUACUUCGGUAAUUGAGACCGGCGCACGGGUGCGUAACGCGUAUACAAUCUACCUUUUACAGAGGGAUAGCCCCAGAGAAAUUUGGAUUAAUACCUCAUAGUAUUUUCGAAUCGCAUGAUUUGAUUAUUAAAGUUCCAACGGUAAAAGAUGAGUAUGCGUCCCAUUAGCUAGAUGGUAAGGUAACGGCUUACCAUGGCUACGAUGGGUAGGGGUCCUGAGAGGGAGAUCCCCCACACUGGUACUGAGACACGGACCAGACUCCUACGGGAGGCAGCAGUGAGGAAUAUUGGACAAUGGGCGCAAGCCUGAUCCAGCCAUGCCGCGUGCAGGAAGAAGGUCCUAUGGAUUGUAAACUGCUUUUAUACAGGAAGAAACACCUCUACGUGUAGAGACUUGACGGUACUGUAUGAAUAAGGACCGGCUAACUCCGUGGCCAGCAGCCGC
rnacentral:rRNA from 1 species